CCUACGGGAGGCAGCAGUGAGGAAUAUUGGUCAAUGGACGAGAGUCUGAACCAGCCAAGUAGCGUGAAGGAUGACUGCCCUAUGGGUUGUAAACUUCUUUUAUAUGGGAGUAAAAUGUUCCACGUGUAGGAUUUUGUAUGUACCAUAUGAAUAAGAAUCGGCUAACUCCGCGCCAGCAGCCGCGGUCAUACGGAGGAGCCGGUCGUUAUCCGGAUUUAUUGGGGGUAAAGGGAGAGUAGGUGGAUUGUUAAGUCAGUUGUGAAAGUUUGAGGCUCAACCGUAAAAGUGCAGUUGAAACUGGCAGGCUUGAGUACAGUAGAGGUGGGUGGAAUUCGUGGUGUAGCGGUGAAAUGCGUAGAUAUCACGAAGAACUCCGAUUGCGAAGGCAGCUCACUGGACUGCAACUGACACUGAGGCUCGAAAGUGUGGGGAUCAAACAGGAUUAGAUACCCGGGUAGUC
rnacentral:rRNA from 1 species